rnacentral:rRNA from 1 species
UCCUACGGGAGGCAGCAGUAGGGAAUCUUCCGCAAUGGACGAAAGUCUGACGGAGCAACGCCGCGUGAGUGAUGAAGGCUUUCGGGUCGUAAAACUCUGUUGUUAGGGAAGAACAAGUGCUAGUUGAAUAAGCUGGCACCCUGACGGUACCUAACCAGAAAGCCACGGCUAACUACGUGCCAGCAGCCGCGGUAAUACGUAGGUGGCAAGCGUUAUCCGGAAUUAUUGGGCGUAAAGCGCGCGCAGGUGGUUUCUUAAGUCUGAUGUGGAAGCCCACGGCUCAACCGUGGAGGGUCAUUGGAAACUGGGAGACUUGAGUGCAGAAGAGGAAAGUGGAAUUCCAUGUGUAGCGGUGAAAUGCGUAGAGAUAUGGAGGAACACCAGUGGCGAAGGCGACUUUCUGGUCUGUAACUGACACUGAGGCGCGAAAGCGUGGGGAGCAAACAGGAUUAGAUACCCUGGUAGUCCACGCCGUAAACGAUGAGUGCUAAGUGUUAGAGGGUUUCCGCCCUUUAGUGCUGAAGUUAACGCAUUAAGCACUCCGCCUGGGGAGUACGGCCGCAAGGCUGAAACUCAAAGGAAUUGACGGA